rnacentral:rRNA from 1 species
AAAGCAGAUAAGGGCAGACGGUGGAUGCCUAGGCUCUAAGAGGCGACGAAGGACGUGAUAAGCUGCGAUAAGCUGUGGGUAUUGGCACAUACGAUUUGAUCCACAGAUUUCCGAAUGGGGCAACCCG